rnacentral:sRNA from 6 species
AUCUACCACUCGUACGCUGCGGUUCUGAGUGCGCCGUCCGCGCCCACCUGACAGCUGCUCGCUACGUUUUGUCAGCC